GCCAGACUCCUACGGGAGGCAGCAGUGAGGAAUAUUGGUCAAUGGCCGAGAGGCUGAACCAGCCAAGUCGCGUGAGGGAUGACGGCCCUACGGGUUGUAAACCUCUUUUGUCGGGGAGCAAAGAGAGUCACGUGUGGCUCAUUGAGAGUACCCGAAGAAAAAGCAUCGGCUAACUCCGUGCCAGCAGCCGCGGUAAUACGGAGGAUGCGAGCGUUAUCCGGAUUUAUUGGGUUUAAAGGGUGCGUAGGCGGACUGUUAGGUGGGGGGUAAAAGCCGGGGGCUCACCCCCGGCGAGCCGUUGAAACUGGCUGUCUUGAGAUGUCGAGAGGUAUGCGGAAUGCGCAGUGUAGCGGUGAAAUGCAUAGAUAUCACGCAGAACUCCGAUUGCGAAGGCAGCAUACCGGCGCGCAACUGACGCUCAUGCACGAAAGCGUGGGUAUCGAACAGGAUUAGAUACCCCUGUA
rnacentral:rRNA from 1 species